rnacentral:tRNA from 1 species
CGGGGCGUAGCGCAGCAUGGCUAGCGCGCCUGAAUGGGGUUCAGGAGGUCGGCGGUUCGAGUCCGCCCGCCCCGA